UGAGUACAAGAUGCUACGGCAUUGAAGCAGUCUAUGUCAUACUCCCAAGAAAAGCUUGCAAUGUCAUAAACAAAUAAUGCCUGUACCAUAACCGACACAGGUGGGUAGGUAGAGUAUACUAAGGGGCGCGAGAUAACUCUCUCUAAGGAACUCGGCAAAAUGACUCCGUAACUUCGGGAGAAGGAGUACCUUAUUUUAUAAGGUUGCAAUAACAAGGUCCAAGCAACUGUUUACCAAAAACACAGGUCUCCGCUAAGUCGUAAGACGAUGUAUGGGGGCUGACGCCUGCCCAGUGCCAGAAGGUUAAAGAAGUUGGUUAGCAUUAGCGAAGCUGAUAACUGAAGCCCUGGUGAACGGCGGCCGUAACUAUAACGGUCCUAAGGUAGCGAAAUUCCUUGUCGGGUAAGUUCCGACCCGCACGAAAGGCGUAAUGAUUUGGAUACUGUCUCGGAGAGGGGCUCGGUGAAAUAGACUUGUCUGUGAAGAUGCGGACUACCUGCACCUGGACAGAGAGACCCUAUGAAGCUUUACUGUAACUUGAGAUUGAAAUUGGACUUUAUUUGCGCAGUAUAGGUGGGAGACCUCGAAAGUAUUCUUGCGGGAAUAUUGGAGUCAUCAGUGAGAUACCACUCUUAUAAUGUUAGAUUUCUAACUUUGUAUCAUUAUCUGGUCAAAGAACAGUUUCAGGCGGGCAGUUUGACUGGGGCGGUCGCCUCCCAAAUGGUAACGGAGGCGCACAAAGGUUUCCUCUGAACGUGUAGAAAUCGUAUCUAGAGUGUAAAGGCAUAAGGAAGCUUGACUGUGAGACCUACAAGUCGAGCAGGGACGAAAGUCGGUCUUAGUGAUCUGACGGUGCUGAGUGGAAAGGCCGUCACUCAACGGAUAAAAGUUACUCUAGGAUAACAGGCUGAUCUCCCCCAAGAGUUCACAUCGACGGGGAGGUUUGGCACCUCGAUGUCGGCUCGUCGCAUCCUGGGGCGGUAGUACGUCCCAAGGGUUGGGCUGUUCGCCCAUGAAAGCGGUACGCGAGCUGGGUUCAGAACGUCGUGAGACAGUUCGGUCCAUAUCCGGUGUAGGCGUUAGAAUAUUGAGAGGAGCCUUCUUUAGUACGAGAGGACCGAGAAGGACAUACCUCUGGUGUACCAGUUAUCGUGCCAACGGUAAACGCUGGGUAGCUAUGUAUGGAGAGGAUAACCGCUGAAAGCAUCUAAGUGGGAAGCCCACCUCAAGAUAAG
rnacentral:rRNA from 1 species